UUCGUUAUCGGGCUGGAUCUCUCCACUGCUGCGCGAUUAAAGCGCGAGUACGUUGUGUUUCGGGCUGGUUUUAUGAAUUUACGGUAAUGUGCGGUUGGGUGUUGUAAUUGGUCAGCUGUGACUUUUUUAAGGUAUACAUAAUUGUCAUAAAUUAAUAAAGUUAAUAAGCUUAAAUUAUAUUGGCUUUUAAAAAUCAAUUUAAUCGAAUCGCAACAUUUCAUUGUACCUACGUAAUUAAGAUGGUUAUGAGGAAUAAAAUUAUUACAGUUCGAUUUAUCUACAAUUUCGUAAUCGAGAUAGAUCUUGUCAAAAGUAAAAAAUACUGGGAUGGUAGCAUAUGUUUCUAGUCAAGGCAAACUGUAACGUGUCAGCUCGGACAGAGGAAAAAUGAAAAGCUCCUCUUAUCGCGAGCAACGAAGGUUGUUCGUUGAUAAUUCUCUAAACCAGAUGUACAUAUUCCAAUAUUCUGUCUAGCCCCUUUGAAAUGUUCCAAUUAUUCCAGGAAUGAAAGAUUAAAGACCCCAUCGCUUUCGAUGUUAACAGUCGUUCCCUAGAACCUGUCACUUCAUUUCAAAUACAAUACACGAACCUCUCCUUUCCUAUUCGUUAAUCUCACCCCUUCAUCCCCUUCUGUUCUAUACAUCAAUUACCUCAGUAACGAAAAUUAAAAAAACCCCUACCAUACUCCACGUACAGAAAUCACAACGUCCCAUCGUUUGCAUCCAUAACAAUUCCCCAAAAACGCUAUCGAACCUUGUCCCCGAGUUUUCAUACUUCUCACCCCCGUUCUUAUUACAACCCCGAAUCUACAAAGGGACUGCGAUUGUUUGGAAAAGUCAACGUUGCAGGAUCGGCUAUAGGGUUGACAACACCCUUUUUCUGGACCGGUACGAUUGAUUUCUCCUGGUUUCGAGCACCGAAACAUUUCUCGCGACGCCUCGGGGACAUAGACGACGAACCUGGAGGCAGGAACAACGAACGUGACGACCAGACAUCCUGUUGCACAGUAAAACAGAAGCUACAGUGACUCUCAAAGGCCACUGUACAGGAACAGACCAAUACACAGAAUAUAUGGAAGAGAAAAAAAAAUAAAAAGAGGGGAGAAAGAUUCAUUGACAUUUAGUAUGGCGAACAAAAAGCACGGACGACGAAGGGACAAUGGCUGUCGAAUUCUUUGUCCCACGCCCGGGACUGGAUUUUUAAUAACGCCGCAAAAAUAAUGGAGAUACCACGGCAACAAUGGAGAGACGCGAAAGAACCGACUAUCCUCAAUUUGAUUCCUGAAGCAUCAUAGCCUCAAAGGUCGUAGCAUUGAAGAGGAACGAAGACUAGGACGCGGCGUAGAAAGCGAAAACGUUGAUUCUUUCGCAAGAGUGCGGAUUCUGCGGCUGUAUUGCGAAGGGUAACGACGAGCGAACGGAUUUCGCAGAUCGGCUUAACCUGAGCCACCGUGAGCCUGGUUGCAGCUGUCGUCCGCAGCGGAAACUCUGCCUGUCGUCCGGAAUCCCAACUGUGGCAGCGCUCCUGUUGCGACGACAUCAUUACUUAUGCAAGCUCCACUUACAGCUCGUCCUAAAAGCCGUUCGUUUCCCCCCUCGUCGUUGUCAAAGAAUGCUCGCAACCCGUAUCCUUCCUGUCGAAGAACGAUUUCGUCAGGCUUUCACGGUUUGAAACGACCAUGUUUUUCAGUUUAUCGAUGCGAUUAUAAACGUUUGAUGAGUUAUUUGGACACAGAUAUACGAAUAAAAAGUAUUCAAAUUGGUUAAAG